UGAGGAAUAUUGGACAAUGGGCGCAAGCCUGAUCCAGCCAUGCCGCGUGCAGGAUGACGGUCCUAUGGAUUGUAAACUGCCUUUGUACAGGAAGAAACAGUUCUACGUGUAGAACCUUGACGGUACUGUAAGAAUAAGGAUCGGCUAACUCCGUGCCAGCAGCCGCGGUAAUACGGAGGAUCCAAGCGUUAUCCGGAAUCAUUGGGUUUAAAGGGUCCGUAGGCGGUUAGAUAAGUCAGUGGUGAAAGCCCAUCGCUCAACGGUGGAACGGCCAUUGAUACUGUCUGACUUGAAUUAUUAGGAAGUAACUAGAAUAUGUAGUGUAGCGGUGAAAUGCUUAGAGAUUACAUGGAAUACCAAUUGCGAAGGCAGGUUACUACUAAUGGAUUGACGCUGAUGGACGAAAGCGUGGGUAGCGAACAGGAUUAGAUACCCCAGUAGUCCCUGAGCGGGCUGGCAAGGCGCAU
rnacentral:rRNA from 1 species